CUAUUUGUAAUACCUUAAAGAAUAAAAAUUAAAAAAAAGGAAUGAUACACAGAUUAGCAUGGCCCCUGAGCAAGGAUGACAUACAAAUUCAUGAAGUGUUCCAUAUUUUA